rnacentral:misc_RNA from 1 species
UUCUUCUCGUGCUCUUUGCUCCGCCUAGUGGAGUUCAAGACAUCAGCCAAACACUGGAAUGUCAUAAUAUUCAACAUUUUUGCAACAGUUUAUGACAUUGGUGGGGCUAUAAGACAUUUUUUAUUAAAAGGAACAUGUCCAUUUUGAGGGGGAAACAAAACUAUGGAUGCAUUAUUAACUCUACCAACAAAACAAUCAGAAGAUCUGAAACCCCCAAUACAAGCUGUG